CCUACGGGGGGCUGCAGUGAGGAAUAUUGGUCAAUGGUCGGGAGCCUGAACCAGCCAAGCCGCGUGAGGGAUGAAGGUACAGAGUGUUGUAAACCUCUUUUGUCAGGGAACAAUGGAGGGGACGUGUCCCCGGAUCAGUGUAACUGAAGAAAAAGGAUUGGCUAACUCCGUGCCAGCAGCCGCGGUAAUACGGAGGAUGCGAGCGUUAUCCGGAUUUAUUGGGGUUAAAGGGUGCGCAGGCGGUCUGUUAAGUCAGCGGUAAAAGCCCGGGGCUCAACCCCGGCCCGCCGUUGAAACUGGCAGUCUCGAGUUGGAGAGAAGUAUGCGGAAUGCGCGGUGUAGCGGUGAAAUGCAUAGAUAUCGCGCAGAACUCCGAUUGCGAAGGCAGCAUGCCGGCGCCACACUGACGCUGAGGCACGAAAGCGUGGGUAUCGAACAGGAUUAGAUACCCGAGUAGUC
rnacentral:rRNA from 1 species